GGAUCCUUUGGAGCGAAGGACUCGAACAGACAUGCGAGACCUCUACCAACUGAAGGUUUCGUGAGCACACUCCUUUGCCAGGAUCUUGGUGAAUAGUCUUUCACUGUGCAGUUGUAUCUUAGAAAUUGUUUUACAUUUGAUCAUGAUUGUGCUUGGCUGGAUGUUUUUUGUUGGACUUGCAUGUUACAUGGGCACGUUUCCAGAGUCGAUGCCUCCAACUCUGAAGUGGCAGGAGAGGUGGCCUGUUCAGGAGAGCAAGACACAACUGAGGAGGCAGGCUUUAGAUGAAGAUCUGCCGCAGAACCAUGUGGAAGGGAUAUAAAUAUCCCCCAGGAGGGACCCCAGUGGAAGUAAGCAAGGAUGAUCCUGGUGAAGUAAUGCAGCUCUGAAGCUCACCUGACCAGCUGUACAGUUCCUGUUGUUGGUUUCGCAUAAAGUAAUUGCACAUUA